CCUACGGGAGGCAGCAGUGGGGAAUUUUCCGCAAUGGGCAAAAGCCUGACGGAGCAAUCUCGCGUGAGGGAUGACUGCCUAUGGGUUGUAAACCUCUUUUUUCAGGGAGGAAUAAAUGACGUGUACCUGAAGAAUAAGCAUCGGCUAACUCCGUGCCAGCAGCCGCGGUAAU
rnacentral:rRNA from 1 species